AAUAGUUUUAUGCCACAUCAGUAUUCUUAUCCUGAAUUUCAGGAUUUUAUCCUAAAAAAAAUAAAAUCUAAAUUAAAAUACUGAAAUUCAGGAUAAAAUCCUGAAAUUCGGGAUAAGAAUAUUGAUGUGGUAUAAAACUAUU
rfam:Gossypium hirsutum cultivar TM-1 chromosome 15, whole genome shotgun sequence